rnacentral:rRNA from 1 species
AUUGAACGCUGGCGGCAUGCUUUACACAUGCAAGUCGAACGGCAGCACGGACUUCGGUCUGGUGGCGAGUGGCGAACGGGUGAGUAAUACAUCGGAACGUACCCAGUAAUGGGGGAUAACUAUCCGAAAGGAUAGCUAAUACCGCAUACGCCCUACGGGGGAAAGAGGGGGAUCGCAAGACCUCUUGUUAUUGGAGCGGCCGAUGGCUGAUUAGCUAGUUGGGGAGGUAAAGGCUCACCAAGGCGACGAUCAGUAGCGGGUCUUAGAGGACGAUCCGCCACACUGGAACUGAGACACGGUCCAGACUCCUACGGGAGGCAGCAGUGGGGAAUCUUGGACAAUGGGCGCAAGCCUGAUCCAGCAAUGCCGCGUGCGUGAAGAAGGCCUUCGGGUUGUAAAGCGCUUUUGUCAGGGAGCAAAUCCUUGUGGCUAAUACCCACCGGGGAUGAGAGUACCUGAAGAAUAAGGACCGGCUAACUACGUGCCAGCAGCCGCGGUAAGAC